rnacentral:rRNA from 1 species
CGGGUGAGUAACGCGUGGGGAAUCUGCCUUUGAGCGGGGGACAACAUUUGGAAACGAAUGCUAAUACCGCAUAAAAACUUUAAACACAAGUUUUUAAGUUUGAAAGAUGCAAUUGCAUCACUCAAAGAUGAUCCCGCGUUGUAUUAGCUAGUUGGUGAGGUAAAGGCUCACCAAGGCGAUGAUACAUAGCCGACCUGAGAGGGUGAUCGGCCACAUUGGGACUGAGACACGGCCCAAACUCCUACGGAAGGCAGCAG